rfam:Picea glauca, whole genome shotgun sequence.
ACAUGCCUAUAGCAUAAUGUUAAUGCAGCGGAUCCCAUUAGAACUCCAUAGUUAAACACGCUAAGGAUAGAGUAGUACUGGGGUGGGUGACCGCCUGGGAAGUCCUACUAUUUUACAUGCC